GCCAAUUGGAUAUGGGUAUUGUAGCUGAAACGUCUUGCGAGCUGAGUCAGGGUCGGGGAAGCUGUGAUGGCAAUGAGAAGUCAACACACUGAGGAUGGAGAGAAAGAAGAUGAGUCUGGGAGAGAAAGAGAAUGAUUCUUCUGGCCGAGGGAAAGCAAGAAUAUCUGUUCCUGCAACUGCACUGAUUCUAGAAACACUCUCUAUUCGAACUCUCAUGAGGUGCUGACCUGCUUGGUGAAUGCUGGGAUCUCUGGAAGAGGGAGGCAGACAUCACACACCAGCUGGCAAGUGGGAGCUGGCAUGCAACAUGCCCCAAUACCACUCCCCUCCUGCCAUCCCUAUCUCCUAAUGGUGCCUCCUUUUGGCCAAACCCACCUUUGGCUGGAGGGCAACAGAGCCCAUUGACGUGGUCCCCUUGCAUCUGCUACCUGGGGAGAAAAGCAGGAUGGACACUGAAUCUAGAGAAAUGAAGAAACCCAUCCAGAAGAAUACUGCUUCUUUAUGUUUUUGUAGGUGUACAAAUCAGGCCUCCCCAUGAUAUUCUAAACUCCUUGAGGAAAGAAGUGGAGUCCUGGGCUUCUGAUGUAGCCUCCACAGUGCUCAGGGGAUAGCGACACUGGCACCCUAUAGAUAUUUAAUUACAUGUGGACUGGAAGAGACCAAACAGCUUCCUGGUAUUUCAAUCAAACCCGGUGCUCUAGACCUGUGGCUCACUCUGAGCAAACUAUAAUGAGUUGAACUUGAAUCUGAUUCCUGCUAAGAAAGGUUUCAUUUUAAUAGGCAGUAAGGCUAUGAGCUAACACCAGAAUUCAUUCGAGUUACUAGACUCACUGAAACUCCUCACAGGAUCCAUCUUUCAUGUUUUCUAGAUUUUGGUAUUCUUAUCUAAACUGCAGACCCAGAAACCCUAUGGACCCUACCUUUCCAAUUAUAUUUCUGGGAAGAGUCAUUCUCUGCAGAGCUGAAGCAUGUAACAGAAAGUUCUCAACCUGAAAAAUAUACCUUCUGCGCCCAAGCCCCACUUUCUGCCACUAUUUGGUAAUCUCAAGUGGGUGAGGUGGUCUCUGAACUUCAGCGCUCUCAUGGUCAGAGCCACAAGGGGUUACUGGGAGGCUAAAGGGAAGUGGCAAACGUGGCUGAGAUUCAGAAAGAAAAGCAGCAAGUGUAGAGAGGCAAGGACUUUUCCAUCUUUUAAAUUCCUUAAAGGAAGCCAAAGUUCAUUUUCCAGUCUCCUUCAGAUGCCUCUCCAAUCCUUCACAGCAGCGCACACAUACCGCAGAAGGAACUCACCAUCACAAAAAGAUGACAGAGCACUGGGGGCUGGGGUGCCACUUGUGUUGGCUGAGAGCCUGGAUGCAUGUGAGGUCAAGCCUGACCUUGGGAAAGCUGCUCUCUGGACAUUACUUGCUGUGCCACAUACACAGCUUGGGUUUCUGAGGAAACAACACAGGCUCUAAGGAGGAACUGGAACGGGGCCCAGGGUAUAUCUUUUACAGCCCGUACUUUUGAGGAAAAUAGAAGACAAAAGGUUUUUAAAAAACACAAAGUGUAUACACGUAUACACAAAGUUUACAAGUUUGUGUGUUUUAACAUCUACUCUCCUUAAGAACAAGUAGACAGGAAAGAUAUUACCUGAUAUGGGUUAAAUUGUGUCCCCAAAAACAUGUUUUGAAGUGCUAACCUUUGGUACCUGUGGAUAUGACCUUACUUGGAAAUAGGUUUUUGCAGACGUAACCAAGUUAAGAUGAGGUCAUAUUUGAUUAGGCUGAACCCUGAAUCCAGUAUGACUGGGGUCCUUAUAUAAACAAGAGAGACACACGCAGAGUGAAGAUGAUGUGUUGAAACACAGGAACAGUGUCAUGGGAUGCUGGGGACAGCAGUUGGAGUGAUGCAUCUAUGGGCCAAGGGAAUGCCAAGGAUUGCCAGCCAUCACCAGGACAGAAGCAUGGGUACUGAUGCCCUCACAGAGCCCUUGAAGAGAGUCAACCCUGCUGACACCUUGAUUUCAGACUUCCAGCCUCCAGAACUGUGAGAGAAUAAAUUUCCGUUGUCUUAAGUCACCCAGUUUGUAGCACUUUAUUAUGGCAGCCCUGGGAAACUAACACACUACCCUUAUUUUCAUGCUGAGGAAUGUAAGAUAGUUUUAGGCACCACCUGCUUCUAUACAAGUUUUAUGAUCUCUCCUCCUAAUACUGCAGAAAUUAUGGGUUUUACCAUCUUAGUAUAUAGCAUAAUAUAUCCAGCACACGUUAUAUAUUUAGCACUUUAUUAGAGUACCCCGGUUUGCUCUUCUGAAAAACUGUGAGGCUGGAUUUGAUGCUUUCUAAGGCUUUUUUUUCCCUAUGUAUUCUCUGAUCAGAAUACCCUGCUCAACGAAGCCGCUGGUAAUGAAGCUCAUUAAAAAUGAAAUCACUUAGGUAGGGAGUUGGAGAGUGACUCAUUUAAAACAUUGCCUCCUGGAAACUGAAAUUCAUUGAACACAAAAGCUUUUGGAGGGACUCAGAUUGGUAGGGACUCUGCAGUCUGACAAAAGGGUCUGGUGACAGGGGGCAUCUGAUCCCAUCUAGGGAGGGUAGGGAGAGGGAGUCCGGAGAGGGAUGCAUAAACAAGCCUUCUUCAGACAUGCUACCUAUGCCUCUCCCAUGGCUCCUGCAUGCUUGGAUGUUACGCUUCUUUAAAGAGCAGGUGACAGGUUGCCCCUGGGACGCUCAGAGCCAGGCAAGGUGGGACUUGGCCCUGCUCCCCCUUCUUCUAUCUGAAAAGUUGCCCUUAGUCCCACGGGGCCCCUUCCUGUCACACCGACACAGCUUGCUGGUUUUUGUUUUCUUUCACUGUCCUUUUUCUUUUUUCAGAAGUUCCUCACAGGAAGUGUUUGGCAGGCAGCUCAGGCCCCUGCUGAGAUGGAGAAUCUAGCAAACCUGUCCCGCUGAUUGAUUAAACACUGAGGAGGCUCCAAGACCCAAGCGUGAAAUUCCUUGGCUCUGAUUGUGCUAAGGGUAGAGCUCACUAAUGAAUGGAGUCUGAUUACAGCCCAGCCUCUCCAGUGCCUCCUGUUGCCCCAAUUUGGGGGAUUCUUCUGCUUCGAGUACAUCAUGGAAAGCAGCACAGAGUUCUCAGCAGGAUCUGCGAUGUCUGAUCCAAGAAAGAUUUUUGUUGUUGUCGUCAUUGUUGUUUUUUAAUCCUGAUCAUUGCUCUCAAACCCUUCUCUACACAGCUUGGCGUGGGGGGUAGUUGAUUUCCAGUGAAACCGGGUGGAAGCAGUGCCACUGCCACCUGUGAGGAGGAAAUGGGCAACAGUCGGCUUCAUCCGUCCUGAACGCUCAGGCCUGAAUGUUCCAAACUGAUGCUAAACUGAGACUCUCUGAAGGCCCAUGGGGAAGCCUGGCAUUGUGUAGCCAUUUCUUCCAGCAAGGCUCUCCCCUCACAUUCACAGCCUGCCACUUAAAGCUUUGGGAGACAAUGUAGUUGACCUGUAGUUCUUCCUGUAUGUGGCUCCUGGUCAGUCACUGGGCAAGGAGGAGGCUGCAGGCAUUGUGCUAUCCCCUUAUCUCUCUCUCUGUCUGUCUCUUAUCUAGUUCAAAUCAGCAAAUGGAGCUUGGUCCUUCGUUUGUAAAGUAAGGGGGUGGAAAAUUAUCCCUAAGUUACCUCCUGGUUUAGAAAAGUCUUAAUGCUGUUUUAUAAUAACUCACCCACCUCUCCUCUUCCAUGAGCUCAGAGCGGCCCAGCCCUUGGAAUGUGUUUCUGCCACGACAAGGAAUACAGGAGGAGUUGAACAGGAAACCUGCCUCCUAUCAGAUUCACCUGAGGACGUGGGUUGUCACGAGCUCCCCAAACAAUAAAGCACUUUACGACAUAGGAGGCAUUAUUAUUAAGCUGUUUUCAGUCCCUGAUACCUGCAUGUUGUAGGACCAUGGUGCAUGAAGGAUUUUAAGGAGGCACUUUUGAAAUGUGAAAGGGACAUAGACUGUACAUCUGGAGCACAAAGGCAGGUUUAACCAGCUUUGUCCUGCUCGGCGCCAGUUGGAAGAGAGCAUCUGGCUUUGAAGUGUCUAAAGCCAGGCGUGACGCUGGAUUCUACAGCUGGGUUUUGCUUUGUCACCCAGGCUGGAGUGCAGUGCCAUGAUGGAGCUCAGUGCAGCCUUCAAUCCCUGGGCUCAAGGAAUCCUCUCACCUCAGCCUCCCAAAUAGCUAGGACUACAGGCUGGAGUGCAAUGGCAAGAUCUUGGCUCACUGAAACCUCUGCCUCCUGGAUUCAAGUGAUUCUCCUGCCUUAGCCUCCACAGUAACUGGGAUUACAGAUUUCUGAUAACUUUGGAGAUUGUGACAGCAGAAUAGAGGGAAAACUUUCUGUAAUCAUGGAGAGCCGAAAUAUUCAUGAAUAUCAAGCACAACAGGAAUUAACUGCAUAGACUGAACUAGUAGAAGACUGAAGUAAUCCUUUUGACUUUUUGCUUAAAAUGUGGCUGAUCCUUUGUUUCAUUUUUCUGAGUCAAGGAAACUUUUCUUUUGAGGUAUUGACAGGUUUUAAUAAUUAAAUACACUGUACUUCUAUGAAAGAAAUUUGGAGCAUAUUUGUUUCUCUCUAUCUGAUUUCUUCAGAAUUUAGAAAAUAUGUGUGAGUGUUCUUAACUUAUGGAAAUACAGUUAUUUACAUAAGUGCAAUAAGAAUCUGUUUUCAUUUGUAACAGACACAAUUAGAGAAACUAAUUAUUUUACCAAGGCUUUCACUGGAAUAGUGUGCUUUCCUUUAAGGAAUCAAACUUUACUUACAGAGCCAAUGAAAGCCCCUUGGGAAAACUGGCCUCAUACCUUGUUUUCACUGUCCUGGUACAGGGUUCCUGACAUGGGAUAAGUAAAGAAUAUCACUUUCUGACAGGCCAAGGAGCCCCAAGUCAUCUUGUGACCUCAAGAAGAAAGGAAUUCACCCAACUUAUAGGUAUUUGAUGGUACAAAUCCACGGCUGGGCUCAGCUUUAAAAAAGUCUUAUCUGAGACUCCUUCUAUAGAACAAAGUUCCAUCAAAACCAAUUUAAAAAGCCCAUGUGAAAAAUAAUUAUUCUUUCUGCACCUUAUAGAAGUAAUCUAGCCAAGUAUAAUAAAGCAAAUUGGUACUACCAUAAUUUGACUUUAAAAUGGGAAAUUGGAGAGAAAAAAAUAUGUUUCAAAACUACAGUAUACCUUUUGUUGAUUCUAGUCUUGCCUAAUAUUUUUCAAUUUUUAUUAUUUUCUGUAGUUUGGAUUGAACUCUAAUUUUCCCUGGCUACAAGUCUCCAAAAUAAUGUUUUCAAUUUUUUUCUUCCUUUUUCUUCUUUUCCUUUUCCCCUCAAUUUUUCCUAAUUUGAAAUCACUGAAAACUAAGUUGUGUUUUCUUAAAGCCAUGUGAACUGAAACUAGACAACUUAGCUUCAGAAGACAAUAAUAGCAACCUGUUUACAUACAUAAGCCAACUCUCAUACCUGCCUACUGAUGUAUGGACUUCAGAGUAAUGUGGCC
ensembl:lncRNA LINC01630 long intergenic non-protein coding RNA 1630